rnacentral:tRNA from 1 species
GCGGGUGUAGUUCAAUGGUAGAACUUCAGCCUUCCAAGCUGAUAGCACGGGUUCGAUUCCCGUCACCCGCUCCA